rnacentral:lncRNA from 1 species
CUGUGAAUACUUUCACAACUCGAACUCGUGACCGAUAGGUCACACAAGGAGAACUUUACUUUUUUGUUAAUCACAAUCCAAUUGUAAGUGAGACAGAAAUCUCAAUCACAGGCUAUACCGGGUUGCCACACCAAGAUAUGGAUCCGGUCAUCUCAAUGCCCAAAUUGGUUAGCCUAGAUACAAGAAACAUCAUCAUCACUGCCUCUUUAUGUAACUUCCAUCAGCAACAUAAACACGCACACAAAAAAAAAAGAAUUAAAUACAGAUUUCACUGGGAAAAAAUUACUUCUCAGGAAUUUUACAUUUCUUAUGUCCAAACUUUGUCUGCUUCUGCUUUUGUCAUAAAUAACGGCUGUUUUUUUCUUGAAAACGGAGGAAUAUCAACGGCGGAACAGAGAGGGGCAAUCACCCUUCUAAUGAAAAUCUCAAUACUCUCUGUUUUUGCAUAUUUAGGGGAAUUUCUCGUGGGUUUUUCGCCUGCGAAUUUCACCAUUUAACAGAUGCAAAAAGAGAUCCGAAGAUGCCAUGGCUGCAUAAACCAACAGAAAUUUGGGGGCCUGCCCCGCCAAGAUACGGUCCGGAUAAUCUCAAAUUUUAAUUUUUACAACUACAUCGGAAACAACCUCUCUAUCUUCACAAGGGUAGGGUUUGUUAAGGUCUGCGCACACACUACCCUUCCCAAUCUCCACUUGUGGGAUUUCACUAGGUAUAUUGCUGUUGUUGUAAUAGAAAGAUAUCUAAUUCAUACUCCACAUAAAAAAAAACCUUGAUAGCCUCAUCACACAUAAAAUGAAACCUAGGGAGUAACAAGAAAAGGAAACUAGCAAGGUCAUACGUAUUUUCACCAAAAGGGUGGUUUUGUAAUUGGAAAAGUAUUUCAUUGGAGUGACCAUUGGCAGCGCCAAAUGACAGAGGCGCAAAACCAACCACUGAAACUCCCCACAGCUCUCUUUAAUCACCGUUGCCUCAGACUUAAGCAAAUGAUAUUUGCAAAUAACUUACGCAACAAAAUAUAAAUAGUGAUCUCAAAGCAUCCUAUUUGUGCAAAUCGUCACUGCUUCGGUCCAACCGGGUAGAUCCAAUUACGGUUUUGAGGCUCAGAUCUGCGUUAUAAGUCGAGCAAAAGUUAAUCCGACAACGCCAUGGCUGCAAAAAACCACCAGAAGGGGGCAUGCCCUGCCAAGAUACGAGUCAAAUCAUCUCAAAUGCCCAAUUGCUAAGCUCAGAAGGGAAUAGAAGAUUGACAAAAAAACAUCACCGCCUCUUUGAAGCAGUCAAUCAUACACAACAAGUUAAAUACUUUGAAAAAACUGGAUAUACCUUAAAUAGCAAGGUGAAAACUGGCCAUUCCAUGAAUUUUUUACAGGGUUGUUGGAAUUGUUACAGUAAUGGAGAAAUCAUUGGCUAAUACAGAGACAGGCAACCACCCUUUCACAAAAAACCCUAAAUUCUCCGAAGCCUCAUUCUCGUUCUCCUGAGCUUUCGUUUUGUUACAUCUCCAUAACAGUUCUUUUUAUACUAUCCUGAAAGCUGUAAAUAUAAAUUAUUUCUUGUAUAUAUUUCUCUUUCUUUCUUUAGGAAAGAGGAGUGAGUCAUUAGUGAAAGCUUUCGGGUAAGCUCAGAUUAAUGGGGCAAAACCAAGGAGAAGAGUGAAAACCAAAAUCCAAACUCAAGUAAUGGGGUAGGCUCAGAUUCGCCUUUCCUCAGACAGAAACCAAAAGAGCUUUGGUAAAACUGCCAUGAGAGGAGUGAGUCAUUAGUCAAAGCUUUCGGGUAAGCUCAGAUUAAUGGGGCAAAACCAAGGAGAAGAGUGAAAACCAAAAUCCAAACUCAAGUAAUGGGGUAGGCUCAGAUUCGCCUUUCCUCAGACAGAAACCAAAAGAGCUUUGGUAAAACUGCCAUGGCUGCAAGCAUCAGUUAGCCUUACAAGACACAAAAGAAGGCACCAAAAAGUGGAAUAUUUUCCAAUAUCUCACAGACCCAUCUGAGCUGCCAUGCCAAGUUACAAUUUUUUUCCAGCUCAAUAGAAAUAUGUCGACUCAUCUUUCACAGAAGAACAAAAUCAUCAUAGCCUAUUUGCAUCACAUAAAACAGAAGGCGUAACAAGAAAGGAAAAUAAAGAGGUUAUAUUUAUUCUCACCAAAAGGCUGGUUUUGGAAUGGGAAAUUCAUUUGAGUGAUCAUCGGAAUCAGAGAAUGACAGAGGGACAAAACCAUCAAUUGAAACUCCCCACAGCCCUCUGCUUUCACAGCAGCCUCAGACUUAAACUAAUGAGAUUUUGUUAUUUUCAUAUGAGGCUCACAUCUCACUAUGAUAAGGCAUUGAGUUUCUCAAAACCGCCAUGGCUGCAAUCUCCUCCGGAUUGCCCAGCCAAGAUACGAGUUUAAUACCAUCUCAAUGCAAAUCAAUAAUGCCAUUUGCCAAGAAUCAUACCAUCACUGCCUCAAAAUGUUCACUUUUACCUUUAUGUUUAGUAUGAUCCGCGCUGUUUGGGUGUUAACACAGCCACAUAGCAGAGAGAACAAAAGAACGGUAGCAGCAACAACAACAGCAGAUCAACAACAACAUGCAUAUCUCGAAGCUAGAUUUACCGAAAAAAAUAAGCACUGUUAAUUGCUUCUAGCGAGAAAUCAUGGGCUUAACAGCAAAACUGAACGAAUGCAUAAAUAAAUAAAUAAAUAAAUCCUAUUUCUCAUUGAUGCCUCAUUCUAUGAGAUGACUUUCUCUAUGUUUGGGCAUUGAGGGAUCAGAUUUACUGUAUUUGAACAAAGCAAAAGAGAAGGCGACGCCGCCAUAGCUGCAGACACCAGUUUGCUAUGUAAAAGACAUAGUGGUUCGCCUUACCAAGAUACGGGUAGAGUAUCUUCUCAAUGCCAUGCCCAGAACAAUAACUGCCUCUUUUUGAGAAAAUGUUGACUCUUUCAUACAUUUCAUGUAAGUAUGGAAGUUUUGGACUAAGCUCAUACUAAGAAUCCAGUA